UGUGAAGCCUUGACCACACUGCCUGCAAACAUAAGGCUUUUCCCCAGAGUGUGUCCUCUGGUGUCUGGUGAGACCUGACUUGUCUGUAAAGCCUCUCCCACACUCCCUGCAAACAUAGGGCUUCUCUCCAGAGUGUGUCCCCUGGUCUCUGAUGAGAUGUGA